rnacentral:rRNA from 1 species
AGUCUGGUGCCAGCAGCCGCGGUAAUUCCAGCUCCAAUGGCGUAUAUUAAAGUUGCUGUGGUUAAGAAGCUCGUAGUUGGAUUUUUGCUGAAAUGGAUCCGUCUGCCUUCUGGGUAUGCACGCGAUACUGUUUUAGCAUUUCUUGGGGGGCUUAACUGCACUUGGUUGUGUGGUUUGGUACCCAGGGUGAUUACUUUGAGGAAAUCAGAGUGGUUCCAGCAAG